rnacentral:rRNA from 1 species
AUGGCGAGGCGACUCUCUGGUCUGUAACUGACGCUGAGGAGCGAAAGCGUGGGGAGCGAACAGGAUUAGAUACCCUGGUAGUCCACGCCGUAAACGAUGAGUGCUAAGUGUUAGGGGGUUUCCGCCCCUUAGUGCUGCAGCUAACGCAUUAAGCACUCCGCCUGGGGAGUACGGUCGCAAGACUGAAACUCAAAGGAAUUGACGGGGGCCCGCACAAGCGGUGGAGCAUGUGGUUUAAUUCGAAGCAACGCGAAGAACCUUACCAGGUCUUGACAUCCUCUGACAACCCUAGAGAUAGGACUUCCCCUUCGGGGGCAGAGUGACAGGUGGUGCAUGGUUGUCGUCAGCUCGUGUCGUGAGAUGUUGGGUUAAGUCCCGCAACGAGCGCAACCCUUGAUCUUAGUUGCCAGCAUUCAGUUGGGCACUCUAAGGUGACUGCCGGUGACAAACCGGAGGAAGGUGGGGAUGACGUCAAAUCAUCAUGCCCCUUAUGACCUGGGCUACACACGUGCUACAAUGGACAGAACAAAGGGGCAGCGAAACCCCGAGGUAAAG